CAGCCGCCACGGUAAUGCGUAGGGUGCGAGCGUUAAUCGGAAUUACUGGGCGUAAAGCGUGCGCAGGCGGCUUUGCAAGACAGAUGUGAAAUCCCCGGGCUCAACCUGGGAACUGCAUUUGUGACUGCAAGGCUAGAGUACGGUAGAGGGGGAUGGAAUUCCGCGUGUAGCAGUGAAAUGCGUAGAUAUGCGGAGGAACACCAGUGGCGAAGGCAAUCCCCUGGACCUGUACUGACGCUCAUGCACGAAAGCGUGGGGAGCAAACAGGAUUAGAUACCCCCGUAGUCCCUGUCUCUUAUAC
rnacentral:rRNA from 1 species